rnacentral:rRNA from 1 species
AUGUCGUUCAACACCCUGGAGUUAGUGUGCUGGAAUGUUCGAGGGCUUAACAAUCCGGCCAAAAGGAAGGCGCUUAGAGGGUUCAUGGACUCUGUUCGUGCGGCAAUUGUAUGUAUCUUAGAAACUAAGUUAGAGGUGGUGGACACUUUUGUAAUCUUGCAAUGCAUGGGACCGACUUAUGAUGGUUUCACAUAUUUGCCGGCGUUGGAUACUAGAGGGGGUAUUUUUAUGGCU